GGGGAUUUAGCUCAGUGGUAGAGCGCUUGCCUAGGAAGCGCAAGGUUCAGUCCCCA
rnacentral:tRNA from 1 species